rnacentral:rRNA from 1 species
GACGGAGGGCGCAAGCGUUGUUCGGAAUACUGGGCGUAAAGCGCGGGCAGGCGGUCUGUUAAGUCGUUUGUGAAAACCCGGGGCUCAACCCCGGGAAUGCAUACGAUACUGGCAGGCUGGAGACUGGUAGAGGCUAGCGGAAUUCCUGGUGUAGCGGUGGAAUGCGUAGAUAUCAGGAAGAACACCUGUGGCGAAGGCGGCUAGCUGGGCCAGUUCUGACGCUCAUCCGCGAAAGCGUGGGGGAGCAAACAGG